rnacentral:rRNA from 1 species
UAGGGAAUCUUCCGCAAUGGGCGAAAGCCUGACGGAGCAACGCCGCGUGAGUGAUGAAGGUCUUCGGAUCGUAAAACUCUGUUAUUAGGGAAGAACAAAUGUGUAAGUAACUAUGCACGUCUUGACGGUACCUAAUCAGAAAGCCACGGCUAACUACGUGCCAGCAGCCGCGGUAAUACGUAGGUGGCAAGCGUUAUCCGGAAUUAUUGGGCGUAAAGCGCGCGUAGGCGGUUUUUUAAGUCUGAUGUGAAAGCCCACGGCUCAACCGUGGAGGGUCAUUGGAAACUGGAAAACUUGAGUGCAGAAGAGGAAAGUGGAAUUCCAUGUGUAGCGGUGAAAUGCGCAGAGAUAUGGAGGAACACCAGUGGCGAAGGCGACUUUCUGGUCUGUAACUGACGAUGAUGUGCGAAAGCGUGGGAAUCAAACAGG